CACCGAGAGGAGGGGCAGCGGGAGAGGGUCGGUGUUCCACGGCGAGCCCGCUGAGGCCGCAGCUCCGCUGGGCGCGACCGCAUCGCAUUGCCCGGCAGCCCGCAGGUGACGGGGAGGGGAAGCUCGCCCCAAAUCUAUCCCGGGAUCCCCGGAAUUUUCAUUGCCAAACUUUUACUGAAUGGAGGAAGAGAAGGGUGUGAGGAAGAGGAAGUUUUCACGGGACCCCCAGGCAGAUACAUUCCAACCACCAAUGCCGAUCCUGCAAUGCUUUCGCGAUGACUGAUGGACGGCUGCCUAGGCAAAUCCAGGAAUUCCUUUAGCCCAACCAAACAUAGCUUUCGCUGUGUCUUAAUGGCAAGCACCCAGACCAGACCAGAAAAUAAAGAACCUUACCUCUCACCAGGGGUCGUUGUGAGCGGCAAGGGUCGCGGCGCCGAUGGGCUCCCCCCGAGAAAUCACCCGGUGCCGGCUGGAGCGUGAUCGGGUAGCAGGGUCCUGGCUGCACCCACAAGGUCCCGUCCUGAGUCACCAAAAUGUUAGCGUAGGAAAACAUAUAACCACACGAAGGCAAUCAUAUGUGGUUCUUUAUUAGAGCAUGCGGGACACAGGGGCAGUGGGACACCCAAAUCUUGUGCCCAAGGAUACCAAGUUACUUUGUGAUUUUAUAGCUUCAAGUUACACAUAUGUUAACUAACAUCCACCCCUAGCUACUGGCUCCCCUAAUCCUUAGUUACUAUCUUAAAUCAUACCUAUGCUUUACCCUGAGUUAUGCUUGAUUUGGUUAAGAUAAUGCUUCCCAAUUAUCUCCCAGGCUGGAGUCACACUUGAUUCAGUUAAAACAAUAGUAUGAUGCUAGUUGCAGUAAGCUGACAUUUGUUCCAAGCCCAGGCUGUGUCAGGAUUCAGCCCGUGCGUCUUCUAGCUCCCCAUCACCUGCAGUUAGCCGCUUGCCAUGCAGAAAUUAUUAUAUUUUUUUUAACCCUCCACUAUCAAUGCGACAAGAACCGUCAGUGAAAAGAGCAUAGCAUGUUUCUUCUGCUGGCAGCUGAUUAUACAGUGGAGUUUCUUUGGCACGUGUCACUUGCUCUUGUUCCUCUUCAUCGAUGAGAUCAAAUUUUCACCUUCUGGCCAGUUGGUAAUUACUUCCAAAAUCCCAGGGCGAUUCAGGUUUCCAGUUCCGGCGUGCUGAGUGAUGAGGGCAAUCCAUUUGCUCCAUGUGGCAUUGGUAGCGUGGUUGGUAGAGGGAACCUUUCCUUUAAACAUCCACCCCAGCACUGGUAGUCGGGGUGCCAGGAGGAGUUGUGCUUCUGUGCCAAUCACCUCCGAGGCGGCUUGAACUCCUUCAUAGGCAGCCAAGAUUUCUUUCUCUGUUGGAGUGUAGUUGGCUUUGGACCCUCUGUAACUUCGGCUCCAGAAUCUCAGUGGUCGGCCUCGAGUCUCACCAGGCACCUUCUGCCAAAGGCUCCAGGACAGGCCAUGGUUCCCGGCUGCAGAGUAGAGCACGUUCUUCACAUCUGGUCCCGUCCUGACUGGGCCAAGGGCUACCGCAUGAGUGAUCUCCUGCUUGAUCUGGGCAAAGGCUUGCUGCUGUUCAUGGCCCCAGUGGAAAUCAUUCUUCUUGUGGGUAACCAGGUAGAGAGGGCUCACAAUCUGGCUGUACUCAGGAAUGUGCAUUCUCCAAAAGCUUAUGGCGCCUCGGAAAGCCUGUGUUUCCUUCUUGCUGGUCAGUGGAGACAUCACAGUGAUCUUAUUGAUGACCUCAGUGGGAAUCUGACAUCACCCAUCUUCCCACUGUACUCCCAGGAACUGGAUCUCCUUGGCAGGUCCCUUGACUUUGCUCUUUUGGAUGGCAAAAUCAGCUUCCAGGAGAAUCUGGAUGAUCUUUCCUCCUUUCUCAAACACUUCCCUUGCCAUGUUCCCACACACAAUGAUGUCAUCAAUGUAUGUAGCUGUUCUGGAGCCUCGCCCUUUUCCAGUGCAGCCUGGAUCAGUCCAUGGCAGAUGGUGGGACUGUGCUUCCACCCCUGGGGCAGUCAGUUCCCGGUGUACUGCACGCCUCUUCAGGUGAAAGCAAACUGAGGCCUGCAUUCUGCAGCCAGAGGAAUGGAGAAAAAUGCAUUGGCAAUGUCAAUAGUACCACUUCCCUGCCUUGGACUCCAGCUCGUACUGGAGUUCCAGCAUGUCUGGCACAGCGGCACUCAGUGGUGGAGUCACUUCAUUCAAGCCACGAUAGUCCACAGUCAGUCUCCAUUCUCCGUCAGACUUGCGCACAGGCCAAAUGGAGCUGUUGAAGGGUGAGUGGGUUUUGACAACUACCCCUUGGCUCUCCAGCUCUCGGAUCAUCUUGUGGAUGGGGAUCACGGCAUCUCGAUUCGUCUGAUACUGCCGACGAUGCACCGUCGAGGUGGCAACAGGUACUCGUUGCUCUUGUACCUUCAGGAGUACUACUGCAGAUAAUCCAGGCAAGGUGUUCAAUUUCUUAAUGCCCUCUGCCUCCACAGCAGCUAUUCCAGAAGCCCACUUGAGUCUCUUAGGGUCUUUGUAAUAGCCAUUCCUGAGAAAGUCAAUGCCCAGAAUACUUGGAGCCUUUGGGCUAGUCACAAUUGGAUGUUUCUGCCACUCCUUCCCAGUCAGGCUCACCUUGGCUUCCAACAGAGUCAAUUCUUGUGAUCCCCCCAUCACCCCGGCAAUGGAAAUAGGUUCUGCUCCCUCAUGUUCUGAUGGCAUUAGGGUACACUGAGAACCGGUGUCAACCAAAGCUUCAUAUUUCUGUGGCUCUGAUGUACCAGGCCAUAGAACCCACACAGUCCAAAAGACUCGGUUUUCCUGUGCCUCUUCCUGGCUAGAGGCAGGGCCCUUCUAGCACUGGUUACUACUCUCUUCCUGUGCAUACAUAGUAGAGGUUCCUUCAAGGGUAUCUGACAGAGCAUCCUCAUUUCUGUAAUACCUGACAGCCUGGUCAUGGGAGGCUGAGGCUACCUUCAUUCUAGUGGAACCCCCUCAGUUAGUGUUUCUCUCUGAGCUCACGCACCUGUGCUACUAGAACAGAAGUGGGUUUCCUAUCCCACCUUCCCAUGUCUUCCCCAUGGUCACGCAGGAAGGACCACAGGUCAGCUCAUGAGGUGUACCCUCUCUCUCUAGCUGAGGGACGUUCGGCUCUGGCUCUGGGCCUGUGACCCACACCGGUGCCACAUGGGAACUGUUCCUCCUCAUCUCCUCUCUUACCUCCCUUAUCUCCUCUUGGAGUUCCUUAACCAUGGCAGAGACAUGAGUCUGCAUUGGGCUACUGAUCAUACUGUCAAAAUUUCUAAGCUUGCUGGCUAUAGAACCUACAGUCUCUCGGUUGGUAUCAGUAUUAAUCGUUGCCAUGAAUGUGGUGUAUUCAGAUGGCCCUUUAUUUGCUAGAUUCCACAACAUUUGGCCUGUGCACCUGACUUUGUCAGGGUCAUUGUCAUGCUGUCCACCCCUCCCAAAGAGUACCUCCACUUUUGCCACUUCUCUCAGCUGUUGGAACCCUGUUGGAGUCCAUGUUUCCAUGGAUCCUACACAGAGAGUGAGAAGUUCAGGGAUUGAAUUAAAACCUUUAGAAAAAUUACAAUAUAUAAAGCCACACACACAUAAAGUAGAAAUCUAAGCCUCAGUUUUAAGCUUCACAUGCCCUAAGUGCCUAGUUGUUAGUGUAGAAGUACAGAGCUUCAGGCCUAGUGAUAGAGUUUAGACAUGACAAAAAUAGAGUAGAGUACUGUUUAUAAUUUUUGGUAUGAAUUUUGCGCAAAUAAGAUAAAGUUUUUUACGUACAUUAAUAUAGAGUUUUUCACAUAAUAAGAUAGAAUUUUUACACACAAUAAGAUAGAACGUUUACGCUAGCAAGAUAGAGUUUUUGCACUGAUAGAUAUGCUAUACGCAUAGGUUUUUGAUACUGCUUUUCAUAGUUUUUCAUAGUUUUACAAACUUAGAAAAUUGCACCUAGACUGGGUAGUGUGUAGAUAAAGAUAUGAAUAUGCAUUUUUAACUUAUGGAUAAAAAGCCUCUGGAUUGGAAGUGAAGGUAUCGAUUGAUCAACCUGAUCUAUUGAUCCAACCUCCACCUUCUGCAGCUUGAGGAAGGACCUCUGCCAGGGAGCCAAAUGGGAUUCUAAAGGUACCAUCUAUUGUCGCUCAGAUCAGGGCCCUGGGGUCUUGUCCCUUCCCUUUCCCCCUUGUGGCGUUUGCCCCCGAACUCUGUUUGGGGCUGCCGGGGACUCUGCGAGGGUUUGGGACCCCAGGACCCCUUCUUGCCUCUGUGACCCCGGGACCCCUUCUUACCUCUGCGGCCCCAGGACUCCCUUCCUGUAACUGCGAUCCCGUGACUGGGAACUCUACAGGGUUCAGGACCCCCCCAUUGCCACUGUGGCCGGGAACUCUGUCUGGUUCGGGAUCCCUCACUGCCUUCGCGACCCUGUGGCCGGGGAUUUUGUGUGGGUUCAGAAUCUAGGGACCUUUUCUGUCGCUGUGAUCCCUGCGGCCAGGACCCCUGUCUGGGAUCUGUGAUCUCGUGAUCCCUUUCUGAUAUAGCGACCUCACGGCUGGAAACCCUGCUUGGGGUCAGGAGAUUGGAGGGUGUUUUACCUAGAGGCUGUUUAGACUUCUAUGCUUUGCUUAUUGCUUUACUAGAGUUUUGCUUGUUAAGAAUUCUGUGCUUUAGUUAUUGUUUUACUUAGAAUUUGCUUGCUAAGGCUUUAUGCUUAUUGUGACAUUGUAAGACCGCUCUUUAGGACUCUCGCACCUUCAGAUACAUGCUUUUAUAUAAUAAACCAUUCUGCUUAGAUCCUAAAAUGUUCUAAGACCUUUAAGACCUAUAACCCGUGUGGGAAAUAUGGUUAUUUAAUUCAUGUUCUAUAAAUAAUUAUAGAUUGGGAACUGUGAUAUAUAUUAUAUAAAGGUAUGUGUGUGACUGCUCAACCCGCACGUUUCACGAACUUCUGGAAAGCACCUCCCUGAUCUUCUGGGUUCCAAAAAUGGAAGGUGAGAACGACUUGCCCCUGCCUACGUGCAGCUCAACUCAUCGGGACUCGCAACGGUCAAACGCUACGUGCCAGCAAAGACGUGCCAGCGAGGACUUACACCGGUCAUCACACACCUCUACGGCAGUUACUCAAAGCAAGGACUAACUCUGGACAUUAGCAUUUGAAUGUGCCCGGGGACCCUUUCGGGAUUUAAUGUAAAUAAAGUUAAUGGUCGAUGAUUAGAGAAACAAUGGGAGGAAAGUUGCCGAGGGGGAAACUAAGUGUAUUUAAGUUGGGUCUUUAGGUGGGCAAGUUCGUGAACCCAGCUAGAGACACCGGCUGCCAGGUCCUGUGUCUCUGGGGUCACCCUUGGCUCUACUUUUCCCGGGAGAACUUCGGUCAAGUAAGUUUGCUGUUCGUGGGGUUCGUAUUGUUUUGUUUUUAUUGUUUGAAAUUGUUAUAAUUUGAUUCUAAAUUUUGUGAUUUGGAUAUUAAUAAACCAAACUAUUGAAUUUGGCAAUAAA